UGGAGGGUGAGCAUCAGGUGAUGCAGCGAGAUUGCUAAUCCCGUACGGUAACCACCCCGUGAGGUUCGAAUCCUCCUCCCUCCGC
rnacentral:tRNA from 1 species